AUUGAACGAUGGAGGCAGGCCUAACACAUGCAAGUAGAACAAGGGGAGGACGGGUGAGUAAUGUCUGGGAAACUGCCUGAUGGAGGGGGAUAACUACUGGAAAAGGUCACUAAUACCGCAUACAAGCGUGUUAUCCCAGAUGGGAUUAUCUAGUAGGUGGGGGAAAGGCUCACCUAGGCGACGAGCCAUAGGUGGUCUGAGAGGAUGACCAGCCACACUGGAACUGAGACACGGUCCAGACUCCUACGGGAGGCAGCAGUGGGGAAUAUUGCACAAUGGGCGCAAGCCUGAUGCAGCCAUGCCGCGUGUAUGAAGAAGGCCUUCGGGUUGUAAAGUACUUUCAGCGGGGAGGCGUGACCCGCAGAAGAAGCACCGGCUAACUCCGUGCCAGCAGCCGCGGUAAUAC
rnacentral:rRNA from 1 species